rnacentral:lncRNA from 1 species
UCCUACUGAGGAAGUCAUUAUGUAGCAAACUCCAAGCUGAGAUAAUCAAAUAAUAACUGGCAAUUUAUAACUUCCAAAGUAAUAUUCUUAAAUAUGGAAUUGUGAAAGAAAACAUUUGCCAACAGCAUUAUUGCCGUGGAGAUGAUUAGUUUUUAAAACAACAAACAAAGCGCCUCUUUCCUUGGUGGCCACCUGCUCUUGCCUUUGAGACAUUUCGAGCAUUCAGGAGAGGCUCAUCUGUGGUUCUGGCUCAGAGUCUCUUGUGUCACAGGUCAGCUGGACGUCCAUCAUCUGAAGGCUUGACCAGGGCUGCAGGAGCCACUGUCAAAGGAGCUCCCUCCCAAGGGUGGUGAAUUUAUGCUGACUGUUGGCU